rnacentral:rRNA from 1 species
AACGCGAAGAACCUUACCUGGGCUUGAACCGCACAGGACCAGCUUUAGAAAUAGAGCCUUCCCGCAAGGGACCUGUGUAGAGGUGCUGCAUGGCUGUCGUCAGCUCGUGCCGUGAGGUGUUGGGUUAAGUCCCGCAACGAGCGCAACCCUUACUCCUAGUUGCUACCCGCAAGGGAGAACUCUAGGAGGACUGCUCCGGAUAACGGAGAGGAAGGUGGGGAUGAGGUCAAGUCAGCAUGGCCUUUAUGUCCAGGGCUACACACGUGUUACAAUGCGCGCUACAAAGUGUCGCGAACCCGCGAGGGGGAGCUAAUCGCAAAAAAGCGCGCUCAGUUCGGAUUGCAGUCUGCAACUCGACUGCAUGAAGCCGGAAUCGCUAGUAAUGGCGCAUCAGAUCGGCGCCGUGAAUACGUUCCCGGGCCUUGUA